AAAGAUGCUGGCUUUACUUGAAUACCAGCAUUUGCUAGAAACAAAGUUUAACUAGACUACAGCAAAGAUGCUGGAACCGAGAAUUCAGGCAUCAAUGGCAAUAAGAACAUAACAAACAUUUCAUGCAGCAGAAAGACACGGAGAAUUAGUAGCAACUAGCAAACAAUAACAGGAUAUCUGACAUCAAGCAUCAAUUACCAGUAUGUCAUUUUAUUAAAACAUUUAUUUGCUAUGAAUUAUUGCAUCUAUAUUGUUCAUCUUUCUGAGAAGCUAAUUACUGAAAACAGUUAAUGUCGCAUGAAUACUUCUGCUUUCCACUUAAUAUUUACUUCUUGUUUUUUCAAAAAUGAUAUUUUAUUAUACUUAACUAACACAAAGAGGUUUGACAUCACAAAGUAAAUUGAAGCAUAUAUUCCCAAUACAUAAGUUUUGAAUCCAUGUAAUGUUUAUUGUAAGUAUCACUACACACAAAUAAAGGAGGAAUAUUACAUUGGCUUACAAAAUAAUAGGAAUCAAUUUUCUGACUUGCCUUUCGUGCUUUAAUGAGUCGUCU
rnacentral:lncRNA from 1 species